rnacentral:rRNA from 1 species
UACGGGGGGGGCAAGCGUUGUUCGGAAUUACUGGGCGUAAAGGGCUCGUAGGCGGCCAACUAAGUCAGACGUGAAAUCCCUCGGCUUAACCGGGGAACUGCGUCUGAUACUGGAUGGCUUGAGUUCGGGAGAGGGAUGCGGAAUUCCAGGUGUAGCGGUGAAAUGCGUAGAUAUCUGGAGGAACACCGGUGGCGAAGGCAGCUCUCGUGGGACGGUACUGACGCUGAGACGCGAAAGCGUG